CUAGCAAGAAAUAAAAAUUUGGAUCCUUAGGAAUAAUUUAAGUCACCAUGCCUUCAAUUAUUUCAAAAAGCCUUUCCCAGAAACACUUCAGUUUUGUACAUAUAAUGAGAGUGAUUGACACCUGUGUGCCCACACUGUCUCCAACAAUACUGUUGAUGCCCCUUUACUUUAGUAGUGAUAUGUGGUGUAACAC